CAGAAAAGAAAGGAAAGAGUUUGGUGAACACACACAGUCUCUACUGAAGGGGUAGACAAGGAAGUAUAAUCUGGUGUGAUGAGCUGGGCUGUGAGCUGUACUCUCUUUGACCUGUGAGAUUUUUGGAGGUUCCUUGAAUUUUGUUCAGACAUGAACCUGGCAAACUCCAUGUUCUAAUUCAAAGCUUCCUGGCUGAACUCAGUGGAACUCCAGCUAAGGAAUUAAAUUGGAGGACAGCUAACAGAGGAGCGUAUGACACCACACUGAAAAACCAGAAGAGCUUGAUUAAGCCGAGGAGAGAAACAGCAGAUGGUCUUCAUGGAGGGAAGCCGCCAAUGACCACCGUCUCCUCAGUCUGUGACGGAUCUGCACUCUGAGGAAUAUGAGAUCCAUGAAAGCCGUCUGCAUCCAUCUUAUCAUCAUUAGCCCCUAGCAUAAGAGCUUAACAGACAUUAAUAAAUGUUUGUUGAAUGAAUAAAAGAAAUUGAAGCAUCUCCUUGAUGCCCCAGAUAAAUCUGUAUGGCUGCUAUACCUCAUCAGUGUGUAAUGAUCUCAAGGGCCUUGGUCA